CCCAAAGCAGGGUGGCUUGUGGCUGGUAGAGCAGGUCGCGGCAUUCGGGGUCUGGCUGCCUUCACCCGGGCUGAGCCGCACACAGGAGAUCCCGAAACACCAAGCGCUGUCCCCUCUCCGUGCUGCGGCUGUGCAGAGCGAGCUGUCCACCCCCUGGGUGACAUUUCCCAGGGUUUUCCCCCUCUCUCCUAGCCGUGGAUGCCAGGCUCCUCUUCCUCUCCGAAUCCCCCAGCCCGCUAAGGAACAAGCACAGGCGAGAAACCCGGCAAUCGCUUUUCUUGCCCGUAAUCAGCUCGGGAGCAUCCUCUUGAACUUUGGGGGGGGAAGCGGCCACUUCAAUUACGCUUUCUCAUCAGCGCUCGAGAGGUGCAGCCGCUCCUUCAAGGAGCAAACGCUAGUGCUCUGCCGUCCCCGCGCGCGCUCGCCGCAGGCAGGGCAGCACCGCGCAGCCAGAGCCCGCAGAGUGCCGGGGCUCUGCACCGCCGCGGGGGCCGAGCCGAGCCGAGCUGAGCACUCCGGGAUGGCUGGCCCGGCUCCGCGUGGGAAUCUCUGGGAGCUUGCAAUGAUGAGCAGGCUCUUCUUAUGGUUGCUGCUCCAAGCAGAGCCAGUGAUGCCCUCGCUUUUGCAGGAGAGAUUUUUGCCCCCAUUCAGGGCUCUGCGUUUUGCAUGUUGGCAUCUCCGAGGCUUCAGAGCUGCGGCUGGUGCCGCUCGCCUUUCCCAGCCUUGUCCCAGCCACGCUGCAUCCCCGCCGGGCUCCGCUUUGCAGCCUGCCCGUGGCUCCGCGCAGAUCGGCCGCGGAGCCGGCAUCGGGGCCGGGAUGUGGCUGGCAGCGGGAUGCAAAAUGCCGCAGGCGGCUUUGCGGUGCGUGAGGAUCUCUCACUCCGGGAUGCUGAACCUUGACGUAGGUGAGACGGGGCAGUCGUGAAAGCAAAACCCCACUGCGGGGGGGUGGUAAAGAAAGUGCUUCUGGCUGAGGCCCCCCCCCCCCCCCGGUUGCACA
rnacentral:lncRNA from 1 species